rnacentral:rRNA from 1 species
UACGGGGGGAGCAAGCGUUGUUCGGAUUUACUGGGCGUAAAGGGCGGGUAGGCGGCCACCGCAAGUCGGUUGUGAAAUCUCUGGGCUUAACCCAGAAAGGUCAACCGAUACUGCGGGGCUAGAGUGCAGAAGGGGCAACUGGAAUUCUCGGUGUAGCGGUGAAAUGCGCAGAUAUCAGGAGGAACACCGGUGGCGAAGGCGGGUCUCUGGGCCGAUACUGACGCUGAGGUGCGAAAGCGUGGGGAGCAAACAGG